UACGUAGGGGGCAAGCGUUGUCCGGAUUUAUUGGGCGUAAAGCGCUCGCAGGUGGUUCAUUGCGUCGUGCGUGAAAGACCCCGGCUCAACUGGGGAGGGUCGUGCGAAACGGGUGAAUUAGAGGCCAGUAGGGGGAUGCGGAAUUCCGGGUGUAGUGGUGGAAUGCGUAGAGAUCCGGAGGAACACCAGCGGCGAAAGCGGCCACCUGGACUGCACCUGACGCUGACACGCGAAAGCUAGGGGAGCGAACGGG
rnacentral:rRNA from 1 species